rfam:Triticum aestivum genome assembly, contig: Triticum_aestivum_CS42_TGACv1_scaffold_289117_4AL
UAUAUACUCCCUCCGUCCGAAAAAGCUUGUCUCUCAAAUUGAUGUAUCUAGCACCAAGUUAGUGCUAGAUGCCCCGCCAAAAAAAAAGUUAAUGCUAGAUACAUCCAUUUGAAAAACAAACUUGGGACAAACUUUUUCGGACGGGGAGAGUAUGUU